AGUCUGGUGCCAGCAGCCGCGGUAAUUCCAGCUCCAAUAGCGUAUAUUAAAGUUGUUGCAGUUAAAACGCUCGUAGUCGGAUUUCGGGGCGGUUUUGCCGGUCUGCCGUUGGGUAUGCACUGGUGCGAGCGUCCUUCCUUCCGGAGACGGCGCCUGCUCUUAACUGAGUGGGUGUCGGAGACGGAUCGUUUACUUUGAAAAAAUCAGAGUGUUUCAAGCAGGCAGCUCGCUUUUGCAUGGAUUAGCAUGGGAUAAUGAAAUAGGACUUUGGUGCUAUUUUGUUGGUUUCGAACACCGAAGUAAUGAUUAACAGGGACAGUCAGGGGCACUCGUAUUCCGCCGAGAGAGGUGAAAUUCUCAGACCAGCGGAAGACGCACCACUGCGAAAGCAUUUGCCAGGGAUGUUUUCACUGAUCAAGAACGAAAGUUAGGGGAUCGAAGACGAUCAGAUACCGUCGUAGUCUUAACCAUAAACCAUGCCGACUAGGGAUUGGAGGAUGUUCCAAUGUGACUCCUUCAGCACCUUUCGGGAAACUAAAGUCUUUGGGUUCCGGGGGGAGUAUGGUCGCAAGGCUGAAACUUAAAGGAAUUGACGGAAGGGCACCACCAGGAGUGGAGCCUGCGGCUUAAUUUGACUCAACACGGGGAAACUUACCAGGUCCAGACAUUGUGAGGAUUGACAGAUUGAGAGCUCUUUCUUGAUUCGAUGGGUGGUGGUGCAUGGCCGUUCUUA
rnacentral:rRNA from 1 species